UACCAGCACCCCGAGUGGUCGGGACGUUUAUUGGGCGUAAAGAGCUCGUAGGCGGUUUGUCGCGUCUGCUGUGAAAACUGGGGGCUCAACCCCCAGCCUGCAGUGGGUACGGGCAGACUAGAGUGCGGUAGGGGAGAUUGGAAUUCCUGGUGUAGCGGUGGAAUGCGCAGAUAUCAGGAGGAACACCGAUGGCGAAGGCAGAUCUCUGGGCCGUAACUGACGCUGAGGAGCGAAAGCAUGGGGAGCGAACAGG
rnacentral:rRNA from 1 species